AACGAACGCUGGCGGCAUGCCUAACACAUGCAAGUCGAACGAGACCUUCGGGUCUAUUGGCGCACGGGUUCGUAACGCGUGGGAACCUUCCCUUAUGUUCGGAAUAACUCCCCGAAAGGGGUGCUAAUACCGGAUAAUGUCUUCUGCCCAAAGAUUUAUCGCCUUUGGAUGGUCCCGCGUUGGAUUAGCUAGUUGUUAGGGUAAAAGCAUACCAAGGCGACGAUCGAUAGCUGGGCUGAGAGGAUGAUCAGCCACACUGGGAGUGAGACACGGCCCAGAAUCUUACGGGAGGGAGGAGUGGGGAAUAGUGGAAAAUGGGCGAAAGGAUGAUGCAGCAAUGCCGGGUGAGUGAUGAAGGCAUUAGGGUUGUAAAGCUCUUUUAACCGGGAUGAUAAUGACAGUACCGGGAGAAUAAGCCCCGGCUAACUCCGUG
rnacentral:rRNA from 1 species